GAUGAACGCUGGCGGCGUGCCUAAUACAUGCAAGUCGAGCGAACGGACGAGAAGCUUGCUUCUCUGAUGUUAGCGGCGGACGGGUGAGUAACACGUGGAUAACCUACCUAUAAGACUGGGAUAACUUCGGGAAACCGGAGCUAAUACCGGAUAAUAUUUUGAACCGCAUGGUUCAAAAGUGAAAGACGGUCUUGCUGUCACUUAUAGAUGGAUCCGCGCUGCAUUAGCUAGUUGGUAAGGUAACGGCUUACCAAGGCAACGAUGCAUAGCCGACCUGAGAGGGUGGUCGGCCACCCUAGAACUGAGACACGGUCCAGACUACUACGGGAGGCAGCAGUAGGGAAUCUUCCGCAAUGGGCGAAAGCCUGACGGAGCAACGCCGCGUGAGUGAUGAAGGUCUUCGGAUCGUAAAACUCUGUUAUUAGGGAAGAACAUAUGUGUAAGUAACUGUGCACAUCUUGACGGUACCUAAUCAGAAAGCCACGGCUAACUACGUG
rnacentral:rRNA from 1 species